rnacentral:rRNA from 1 species
AACACAUGCAAGUCGAGGGGCAGCAUGUCGGUUGCUUGCAACCGACGAUGGCGACCGGCGCACGGGUGAGUAACGCGUAUCCAACCUACCCUUGUCCAUCGGAUAACCCGUCGAAAGGCGGCCUAACACGAUAUGCGGUUCUCAGCAGGCAUCUAACGAGAACGAAAUGUGAAGGAGAAGGAUGGGGAUGCGUCUGAUUAGCUUGUUGGCGGGGUAACGGCCCACCAAGGCGACGAUCAGUAGGGGUUCUGAGAGGAAGGUCCCCCACAUUGGAACUGAGACACGGUCCAAACUCCUACGGGAGGCAGCAGUGAGGAAUAUUGGUCAAUGGACGGGAGUCUGAGCCAGCCAAGUAGCGUGCAGGAUGACGGCCCUAUGGGUUGUAAACUGCUUUUAUAGGGGGAUAAAGUGUGCCACGUGUGGCAUAUUGCAGGUACCCUAUGAAUAAGGACCGGCUAAUUCCGUGCCAGCAGCCGCGGUAAUACGGAAGGUCCGGGCGUUAUCCGGAUUUAUUGGGUUUAAAGGGAGCGUAGGCGGGCUGUUAAGUCAGCUGUGAAGUCCGGCGGCUCAACCGUCGGCCUGCAGUUGAUACUGGUGGUCUUGAGUGCGCGCAGGGGUGUUGGAAUUCAUGGUGUAGCGGUGAAAUGCUCAGAUAUCAUGAAGAACUCCGAUCGCGAAGGCAGAUGCCCGGAGCGCAACUGACGCUGAGGCUCGAAAGUGCGGGUAUCAAACAGG